rnacentral:tRNA from 1 species
GCGUAGCGUAGCUUGGUAGCGCGUCUGAAUGGGGUUCAGAAGGUCGUGAGUUCAAAUCUCACCGCCCCGACCA